rnacentral:rRNA from 1 species
GAUGAACGCUGGCGGUGUGCCUAAUACAUGCAAGUCGAGCGAACAGACGAGGAGCUUACUCCUCUGACGUUAGCGGCGGACGGGUGAGUAACACGUGGAUAACCUACCUAUAAGACUGGGAUAACUUCGGGAAACCGGAGCUAAUACCGGAUAACAUGUUGAACCGCAUGGUUCAACAGUGAAAGACGGUCUUGCUGUCACUUAUAGAUGGAUCCGCGUCGCAUUAGCUAGUUGGUAAGGUAACGGCUUACCAAGGCAACGAUGCGUAGCCGACCUGAGAGGGUGAUCGGCCACACUGGAACUGAGACACGGUCCAGACUCCUACGGGAGGCAGCAGUAGGGAAUCUUCCGCAAUGGGCGAAAGCCUGACGGAGCAACGCCGCGUGAGUGAAGAAGGUCUUCGGAUCGUAAAACUCUGUUAUUAGGGAAGAACAAAUGUGUAAGUAACCAUGCACGUCUUGACGGUACCUAAUCAGAAAGCCACGGCUAACUACGUG